rfam:Trichoderma harzianum strain T6776 Scaffolds0629.1, whole genome shotgun sequence.
UCUUCCGUAGUAUAGUGGUCAGUAUGCAAGCUUGUCACGCUUGAGACCCGGGUUCAAUUCCCGG